UUUAAAUCUGUGUCUCUAGCAAGAAACUAUGACUAAAGAAAGCCUCUGCUAAUGAAAUAAACAUGCUUUAAACAUGUAUUAAAGUAAAAAUUACAACUAAUUCCAAUUAUACAGAUUUCAGUGAUAGGAAAAAGAAGUAACUGCUUUGAAUACCUAGUUACGCAAUGCCGAAUGUAGGUAUAUUAAAACACUUACUUUACUAAUUACAGCCUGAAAAUCAAUACUAGAUAUCAAAAUGGGUGCUGAAUUCCCUCUGAAGACCACCACUCACUUCGAACUGGCAGAAAUUGUUUUUAUUUGCAUCGCAUUCACUCUGAUUCUCAUAGUUUUAACUCAAGCUAGCAGGAUUAUAUCAUCCGGCUUCAUAACGACGUAUUAAUUAAUGUCAUGCAAAAGUUUCCGACGCCCAGCUGGAGGAAUGGUGGAACUUAUUUGGAAUAUUUCUUAAUUCUUCUAGUCUGUGUCACCCUUUUGUUCAUAGCAUGUAACGACACUUGUAAGAAAUACUUUCACUUCAAUUGACAGUGUUGAAUUAAUAUUUAUUGAAUUCA